UUUUUUUACGGACGAAAAUUUCUAGCCAUCUAGGUCAAGCCGUCAACUCCCGUGUCGUCUCCCUUCCUUCCGAGUUCGCCCACACCUUACGCCGCCGAUCUAUCUCGCAAGCAGGCCGCGACGCCGGCCGUCGUCCCGCCGCGCCAUAUCCAUCCUGAUUGGUCUAACUGUUUGCACAUUUUUGAUGCCUCGAGUUUGUGAUCGGACGGUGCUCUCGGGAGGUAGAGUCACCGCCGAGCUGUCAUGCCUUUCUUGCUUCGGUGGGGGAUGCUAUCUUCACCGAGUAAGAUCAUGGGGGCUUCUUACUUGUGUAGUGGCAUCUGGGAUUGUACUUCGUAAAAUCACUUUGUCAUCACAUUAACUUUUAUCACUUAGUGCUUGAUACUAUCAAUUCACCUAAUGCACGACCUGACCGAAGGGAUUACGACAGGUUACGUCUACCCAUUUUGAUUUUUGACGAAAUGAAUGACUUGUGAAAGAAUCUUAAAGCGUCAGCCUGUUUUAUUGGAUGGUAAACCUCUAGUAUUGUUUAUCUCCAUUUUUUUAAGGCUUCUGUCUUGUUAUUCGAUUAUAAACAUCUAAAAUAUUUGUUUCUCCAUUUUUUUUGGUUGUUGGCUUACUUGCUUGUCCGUAUA